CCAGUAUAACGCCAUAUAA
rnacentral:snRNA from 1 species